GAUGAAGAACGUAGCGAAAUGCGAUAAGUAGUGUGAAUUGCAGAAUUCAGUGAAUCAUCGAAUCUUUGAACGCACAUUGCGCCCCCUGGUAUUCCGGGGGGCAUGCCUGUCCGAGCGUCAUUGCUGCCCUCAAGCACGGCUUGUGUGUUGGGCCCCGUCCUCCGAUCCCGGGGGACGGGCCCGAAAGGCAGCGGCGGCACCGCGUCCGGUCCUCGAGCGUAUGGGGCUUUGUCACCCGCUCUGUAGGCCCGGCCGGCGCUUGCCGAUCAACCCAAAUUUUUAUCCAGGUUGACCUCGGAACAGGUAGGGAUACCCGCUGAACUUAAGCAUAUCAAUAAGCGGAGGA
rnacentral:misc_RNA from 1 species